UACGUAGGUGGCAAGCGUUAUCCGGAAUUAUUGGGCGUAAAGGGUGCGUAGGCGGUUUGAUAAGUCUGAGGUGAAAGUUCGGGGCUCAACUCCGAAUUGCCUUAGAAACUGUCAGACUUGAGUGUAGGAGAGGGCAAUGGAAUUCCAUGUGUAGCGGUAAAAUGCGUAGAUAUAUGGAGGAACACCAGUGGCGAAGGCGGUUGCCUGGCCUAUAACUGACGCUGAGGCACGAAAGCGUGGGGAGCAAAUAGG
rnacentral:rRNA from 1 species